UGUCCGUGUUCCGCGAUUCGAUCACCGAAGUCGAGCGACGUUGAGAGCACGCGAACCUGGUAUAGAUAAUGAUCAAGACCUGUCGUGUAUGUACAUAUAUAGACGAUUUUUCUUGAAGAAUGACAUGUGGGCUUUGUCUCACAAUCCGCAAUAAUUAACGCAUCAAAGUCUGAUUCCUAAAAGUGUACACACAAGUUUAUUUCUAUCUGACUUUCCUAAGCACAAGAAUGAUGUAUGGAUCAACAGUUCUCCGGCCGCUCAGAAAUCAAAUCAUACCAGUAUAGAGGAACUACAAAAACACGUGGUUUUGUUUUUUAAAUUUUAACUUACUUAUUUCACACAAGGAAUCUCCCAUGGCAGUUUUGCAUCGCGCCCUGUUUACGUGGUUUAAUUUGCUCAUAUUCUUGAUCCUCUUGGUCUUGAGACUGGAUUCAAGAAUAGAAUGGAAUUAUUUUAUUGUUUUUAUACCAAUGUGGAUUUACGACAACAUUCUUCUUAUUUACAUUAUUUUCAACAUGAUCUCGCACUGUAAGAACAGACGUGUCAAUAAUUUACAGCGAGAGGCACGAUACAUGAUAGCUGUGCUCCUGAAAUUGUCUGCUCAAAUCCUAAUAUGUCUAAAGUUGGAAGCACCUCAGUGGUCUCUUUCAGCCAAAAUAGUACUAGCACCAUUUUGGCUGCUUCUUCCAUCAUUAGGAAUAGAUGUUUUCAUCCAUUUGAUACAACAAUCUAGGUAUUGAGGGAUGGGACUAUAAAUACGCUAUAUUUCAGCUUAAUUAAAAUAUGUGAUAAUGUGGUUUUUCAUACUGUUUUUAUCUUCCGUGUUAACUAUACAAAACUCUGAAACUGCAAGUGAUGUAACAGUAAAAGAAGUGUCAGCUGGACAUUUGGCUGAACUUCCUUGCUUAAGCAUUGACGAACAUCAUCGUUUUAUGUUUUGGCAACUUGGAGAUAAUGAUAUUAUUGGUCCAGGAAAUCCUUUAAAUGAAAAAAAAUAUAAUUACGAAGUGUUGACUGGCUUGCUUCAAAUCAGAGGGGUAUCAACGUCAGAAUCUGGAUUUUACAAAUGUUUUGCCAAAGAUUUAUUCGACGAUUCCCGUCUUAAGAUUCAUUCGGUUGAAUUAAUAGUUAAGAAUGACUGGGAGCAACUUUGGGAAACAGAUUUUGAGACAAAUUUAUUGAGAGGAAUGGCUGCUGUUAUGGUAGUGGUGGUUGCUAUAGCUGUUGUUCUUUUGAUCAUUGUUGUUAAAAGAAAACGAAAUCAGAGAUUCUUUGAUCUAGAAGAGUCGAGAGAAAAUUCACCAGCACGAUACACGCCAAAUAACGCACCCGGCGUUUCAGCAGACGUCGAGAAUGCUGGAGUCGAUAAUGCUGCUCUUGACAUUGAUUUUCCUAAAGUGUUUAAACAAAUGCAGAAAUAACCAUCGAUGCCAUAAUGGUGUGUAAUUAUACAAUAGAAAAUAAAUUUUGUGCUUUAUACAAAAUUAUAAUAUGUUCUUAAGCGCGUCUGAUAAAUAAAUAUCGUUUCUUAUUCUCAAAUAACGUA